GGAUUGGAAAUGGGCGAAAGCCUGAUCCAGCAAUGCCGCGUGGGUGAAGAAGGUCUUCGGAUUGUAAAGCCCUUUCGACGGGGACGAUGAUGACGGUACCCGUAGAAGAAGCCCCGGCUAACUUCGUGCCAGCAGCCGCGGUAAUACGAAGGGGGCUAGCGUUGCUCGGAUUGACUGGGCGUAAAGGGCGCGUAGGCGGUCUGUACAGUUGGGCGUGAAAUUCCUGGGCUUAACCUGGGGGCUGCGUUCAAUACGUGCAGGCUUGAGUUCGGAAGAGGGUCGUGGAAUUCCCAGUGUAGAGGUGAAAUUCGUAGAUAUUGGGAAGAACACCGGUGGCGAAGGCGGCGACCUGGUCCGAUACUGACGCUGAGGCGCGAAAGCGUGGGGAGCAAACAGGAUUAGAUACCCUGGUAGUCCACGCUGUAAACGAUGUGUGCUGGAUGUUGGGUGACUUAGUCACUCAGUGUCGUAGCUAACGCGAUAAGCACACCGCCUGGGGAGUACGGCCGCAAGGUUGAAACUCAAAAGAAUUGACGGA
rnacentral:rRNA from 1 species